UGGGAACAGAAAGCCCUGACUCAGUGUGGAGUUCUCUAGAAGCAUUUUGAUUAGGACUUAGUAAGAGAUGACUUUCCACAGCCAUCCAGCAUGGCACCCAGUGUGCAUGAAGUGCAUCCUGAAUCCAUGCAGCUGCUCUUCCAGAGGAUCUCUGCCUGCUCAUAACUGAAAUCCAAUCAUCAGGAAUUCCAGUGCAGCAGGAUGUUAGAGAAAAUAAACAACAGUCUCCUGAGAGGUUCUACCACUGCUUGACAAAUACAGAGGUUCAAUUCCACCAAACAUUGGUGAAUGAUGGCCCAAUCAGCCUGUACUUCCUUGCUCUCCUGCUGCAAUGUCAUCAACUUCUUCUUUAUAAGAUUCUCCUCCAUCAGGAGCCGGCUGUGCAGGUUACUGUAAGGACACUCUGCAUGUCUUUCUUCUGGGAAGAUGGAGAAGUGAAAAUGAUCUUUCCAUUCUAUGGACCAUGUUCUCUUUUUCCCUCAGCCCACAUUACGAACAAAUGAAAGUGAGUAUCAUCACCUGAACAACUGAGUAAUAUCCACUGCUGCUAGCGUGGUACUGUGCUGAUGAUAAUCUUAGCUUCCUUUAGUGUUGCUGCCCCAGCAGGAAGUAUUAAGUGCUGAGGCCAGAGCUCAGAGAACCUUUCAAGGGGCUAGAGAGAAGCCAUCAGAGACUCUACACUUCCUUGUCCUGAGAUGAAAUCCAGGAACACAAUGUGAACUUGGUGGCUAAUUAACCAUACAUCAUACUUCUACCUCCACCUUUCUAUGUUCAGUACA